rnacentral:rRNA from 1 species
AUUGAACGCUGGCGAAAUGCUUUACACAUGCAAGUCGAACGGCAGCACGGGGCAACCUGGUGGCGAGUGGCGAACGGGUGAGUAAUACAUCGGAACGUGCCCAAUCGUGGGGGAUAACGCAGCGAAAGUUACGCUAAUACCGCAUACGAUCUACGGAUGAAAGCGGGGGAUCGCAAGACCUCGCGCGAAUGGAGCGGCCGAUGUCAGACUAGGUAGUUGGUGGGGUAAGGGCUCACCAAGCCGACGAUCUGUAGCUGGUCUGAGAGGACGACCAGCCACACUGGGACUGAGACACGGCCCAGACUCCUACGGGAGGCAGCAGUGGGGAAUUUUGGAAAAUGGGCGCAAGCCUGAUCCAGCCAUUCCGCGUGCAGGAUGAAGGCCUUCGGGUUGUAAACUGCUUUUGUACGGAGCGAAAAGGCUCUCUCUAAUACAGGGGGCUCAUGACGGUACCGUAAGAAUAAGCACCGGCUAACUACGUGCCAGCCGCCGCGGUAAAAC